UUUAGAGGCAGAAUCAGCUUUACUAAUUUUGUAACAGAAUAAGCACUCUGUAAUGACACUGUACUUCUAAACUGAAGACUCCUUACGAAAAGUUAAAAAUGUGUUCUUAAAACAAAUGUAUUGAAGCUGAGCAUAUUUACAUUACACAAUUGUGCAUAUCUGUAUAUUAAAAUUAUACAGUCAUUGUUCACUGUGUAAAAUCUGCAAGAUACAGGUAAACAAGCAAAGAAAAAUUAUCCCACCAGAGAUAAAUGCUGUUAAUCUUUUAGUAAAUUACCUUUAGAGCUGUUUUGCGGGAUAGAUACAUAACACAAACUGGUGGCAUUAAAUCUGCAUGCUUUUUGAAAAGUGAUUCUGGAGUGAAUAAAAAUUGCAACUUUAGAAGAUAUACACUGCCGGCCGGGCAUGUUGACAGAUAAAAGUAAUGACAGUAUAUAAGCGUCAGGUGAAUGUUCAAGGAAUAGGAAACAACAUUGUCAGGACGUCUGUUUGGAAAAAAACCCUUAAAAGUAAAAUUACAUACAUCAGAUUUUAUCUAGAUAUUAAACUGAUGCUGCUGAGGCAGGAGGAUCACUUGAAGACAGGUGUUUGAGACCAGCAUGGGCAACAAAAUGAGAUCCCACUUCUAAU
rnacentral:lncRNA from 1 species